GAUGAAGAACGUAGCGAAAUGCGAUACUUGGUGUGAAUUGCAGAAUCCCGUGAACCAUCGAGUCUUUGAACGCAAGUUGCGCCCGAAGCCAUCAGGUUGAGGGCACGUCUGCCUGGGCGUCACAUAUCGUUGCCCAAUGCCUAUUGCAGUGCAAUAGGAAUUUCUAGGGCGAAUGAUGGCUUCCCGUGAGCGUUGUUGCCUCGCGGUUGGUUGAAAAUCGAGUCCUUGGUAGGGUGUGCCAUGGUAGAUGGUGGUCGAGUUAGAACGAUACCGAUCAUGUGCAUGCUCCCCAAAAGAUGGCCUCUAUGACCCACACGCGUCUUUUGACGCUCAUGACGAGACCUCAGGUCAGGCGGGGCUACCCGCUGAAUUUAAGCAUAUCAAUAAGCGGAGGA
rnacentral:misc_RNA from 1 species